GCCGCCGGGCGGCGGCCCCGGGGUGCUCCCUGGGCCGGCCCCCGGUGCGGCCCCUCCGGGGCUGGGCCUUUGGUGGUGGGGGAAGCCGCGGCUGCCCGACAGCCCAGGCUUCGUUUUCUUGCUCGCAAGCGGGGCGCAGCCGGGAGCGUGUCUUGCCCCCACCCGCUGGCAUGGGGCGGUGCAGGUGCUGAGUUUUGCCCGGCCUCGGGUGCCUUUAAGCACCGCCGCUUUUGAUGCACUUCUUCCCCUUCACGUGUGCAUCAGGUUGGUUUUCCUCUCCAAGUCUCUCAGGAUUUCAUGGUCCUUGGGCUGCUGUGGGGCAGGGGAAGCUCUUCUAGUGACAGCACGGUUGGCAUGCAGAAAGUGCCUUGGGAAGGUGCUUCAUGUUUUUGCUUUAAUACAGAUCUCUAAGAGCAGAACAAAAGCUUGGGUCUCACGCAGCGCAUGCUUGGUGGACUGUGCAGGAGAAUAAAGAGACGGUUGUGGCAUAUGCGGACAAUGGGGACUUUUUUGUUGAUAGAGCUCCAGUCUCGGAGUGUUUGCUGGCAUGGCUGGGCUUUUUGUUUUAUUUCCCUCCACCCUUGUGGCUCGUGUAGCCACUGUCAGCUGACAGAUCUCCUGGGGCAUAGAGCCCUAGGCUGUGCUCAGGUGCCAUGGUAUACCCAGCUCUGGAGCUGGAUCAAACCUCUGCAGGCCAAUGACAUAAAACCCUAUGACUGAAUCUUAGUAGUUAAGAACACUUCUGGGUUGGGGACAGAUCUUACAUAGAUUUGGUUAUUUGCUGCCUGCAUUGACCUAGGAUUCAUAUUUCUGAAGCCUGCCUUAUUCCUGGGCAGGCUGGGGGCUGUGUUGUGUCUCACUUGUGGACACGUCUGUGUGUUCAGCUGGUUUCUCGAGCUUCCAACUAGUCUCUGUGUGCCUCUCUGCUAAGACUUGGGUCUGAACUUUCCCCACCUCAGGCCCUUUGCUGGGAGACUCACUGGAGGCAGCCUUUCUUUUGCAAGCUUCAGCAACCUUGAUCCUAAAUACUUGGAUUCACCCCAGUGGCUCAGCAGAGCCAGAUCCAGUGGAAGCAAAAGAUGUUGUAUGUGAUGUGCUGACUCCUUAAGUCCUAGGUUAAGGUAUUAAAGCUGCUUGAAUGCUGGAGGGAAAUGGUUUUGUCCAUCACAGAUGAUAAAAUGCAGCCCGGUAUGCAGUUUUUGCCCAGAUAGCACGCAGCGUGCAUCUUCUGGGGAUCUGGAGCAAUGUUGGGCUAAGCUAAGAUCUAGAGACGCUACUUGGCAUACUGAGAGCUAGAGAAUGCCCUUGCCCUUCUCAGUGGAGCUGGGCUGCAUCCUGGGCUGGGGCCAUCAGGUGGAAGAGGAAUCUAAACUUUCUCUCUGUUCAGGAGCAGUCACUUCAGGGAUACCAAAGGGAAUGAGGAGAGUGGCACUGACUUCGUAGGAGAGGAGGUCAGUGGGAGAGAGCAGUUGUUCCUGGGAAGUGGAUCCACAUAGCCUCCAUAGCACACCUGGUAGCUGUCUAGCAUCUAGCUUGGAUCUGUUUUUUGCCCCCACCUCUGGGGCAGAGACUCCUUGCUGCUGCUUACUGGCCCUCAUGUGUUGUUGUCUCUCUCUGUCUUCCCCCUCCCUGAAAACAAACCCCACCAACGUAUUUUGCUCUGGUGUUAGAGUAGCCUAGCUUUGUCAGCCCUGUUUUGUGCUGUGCUGCUGACCUGGGAAGCUACCAUUUCUCAGCCUGAGCUACUAGGCUGGACAGUGCUUCGUAUGGUACCCCAAUGGGCUGUGUACAGUGCUCCAACACGCUGCACCCCUGGCAAACUACUGCUGCCUGGUUACUCUGUUUUAUUCCUCUGGCUUGCCCUGAAGCAGGGCUCCUGUUUGUCCUGUCUUGCAGCUUUUCUUGGGCUGGUCUUGCUUGAACCCCAGAAUGACAACUCUGAGAGGGCAACGUGGACAAAGCUAUUGAACUGGCUCUUUAUUAUUGCAAAAUGAUGUGUCAGGUAGAAAAGCUAAACUAGACUCGGUUCGUGCCUGCUGCCUGUGUAAUAACUGUUCACUUGUUGAACCUCUGCUAAUACGUCACCUUAAUAAAAUUGAACUUUAGCUCAAGAUAGCAAAUUCACCUUCUGACAAGAUUGUCAGCUUGUUCACGGAUAUUGCCAUCAGUGACUCUUCUGUUUGCGGGACCACUUAAGCAACCAAGGGGAGAGGCAUGCUUGUUUGCUGGAGCUGGGAGAAACCAAUACUUUCAUAACUUAAUAUUCCUACACAGGGAAUGUUGAGUCUGCUGAUUGGAGCCAGAUAGCCAAUGACCUGGCACCCUUACCAAAAGGAUAGUGAAUAUGUACUGAAGAGAAACCGCUGCCAGACCCGCCUCCCAUCUGCCAACAAGAGAGUCUUUGAAGAGAUAGUGCAUCAGUUGUUUUAAUGAAGACCGAGGAUACAGCCGGUAAGGAGCUUACGUGGUGAAGCUGCAAGAAUAGAAAGCUGAUGGAUCUGUUCUGCAAAAGGAGAAGGAACGUGCUGGCAACUACAAAAGCAAAGACCCUGGAAUGAGAGAUGUGUGUCAUGAGUACUUACUCAUGUGAAGGCAAUAAAUCCAAAACUUUGCAGCAAGCCAGGGUCAGACAUUUUGUGCAAAACUUCUCUAGCAUGUUCCUAGGGAUUUGGCAAGUUAAUGAACUGUGAUAAGAACUGCAGCCAGUCCUGCUGUCUUGUCUUAUUUCUCCCAGCUUCAGCCAUCUGCCCAUCCUUGCCCACACAAGUGUUUUUAUUGUGCGCUGUGUGAGAUUCUGUGCUGAAAGAAGGGGCAUUUCACCGUCCUUGUACAUUAUCAGUUACCUCUUGGGCAGUUUUAGAAUGACCACCUGAAAGUGUCCUAAUGGUUGAAGUUUCCUUCAAAUGUCUCCGUAAGUGGAUGGACAUGAUCACUGUGAUGAUAGCACAGUGAUGCUGGUCACAGCAUGCCAGCACCAAGGGUGAAUAGCCUUUGCUGCGUGUUUUCCCCCAGGGAGUCACUGUGGAAAAUACAAUACUGCUCUCCCCUUGUGAUUCACUGUCAGCUGAGCAAUGUCAGUAUAGUGCGUGAACUGAAUUGCUGCAUUGGGUGUUGCUGUGAAUUUAGAGUAGAAAAAGCACCAAAUGGGUGAAGCCCUCUUUGCAUUUCUGCUGUAUCUGCUGCCAAAUAAAAGAUGAGCUUAGAAUA